CAGCCGCCGCGGUAAUACAGAGGGUGCGAGCGUUAAUCGGAUUUACUGGGCGUAAAGCGUGCGUAGGCGGCUUUUUAAGUCGGAUGUGAAAUCCCUGAGCUUAACUUAGGAAUUGCAUUCGAUACUGGGAAGCUAGAGUAUGGGAGAGGAUGGUAGAAUUCCAGGUGUAGCGGUGAAAUGCGUAGAGACCUGGAGGAAUACCGAUGGCGAAGGCAGCCAUCUGGCCUAAUACUGACGCUGAGGUACGAAAGCAUGGGGAGCAAACAGGAUUAGAUACCCCCGUAGUCCCUGUCUCUUAUAA
rnacentral:rRNA from 1 species